CUUUCCCCUCGCCAGCAAACCGCGACCUCGGGCUUUCCCACACCGACCCUCGCCCCGCAUCUCAAACUAGCAUCCUCAUGUAAUUGCAGCGCCCCCCCCGGGGUGGGAGGAGAAUAGGCAGGUCCUGCCGCCCUCCCCAUCCCCCGGCCGCAUCCUUUCUGCUGCAUUUCCUUCCAUUUGUUCUUCGGGGCCACUGCAGCCUCGCCAAGGGCGGCUCUUGACGUCAGGAAAAGCAGCCCCUGACCCGGGAGGAGACGGAACAUUUCCAAAGCGCUGUUGGAUCGGGGCAGUAACGGGGAGCCACGGGCGGGCCCUGAAGAGUGGGGUGACCUAAGCAGAACGGGCUUAAGGAGGUCGUGGUCACGGCUGGGGGAGGGAGGGCUCCGGGGGAGACCGAGGCCCGAGCACUGGGGGAAGGAGAGUCAUAGCAGACCAUGAGCAUCCAACAAAAACCCAUUUGCGAUUCCGGGGGUCCUUCCCUGAGCCCUCGGGACCGGGUCCCUGCCUCGGAAGAGCCGCUCACCCCGCUGGGGAAGAGGACGCCCCCCGAAGGUGCUCAGAAACCGUGCGCCCCGUCCCAGCUCUCCCUCCUGCUCAGCCUCGGCCUGGAGCCUUUUGUAGCUGGAGAAUUUCCCAGAGGGCGUAGCUGCUCUCCAUGGCAUUCUAUUCCCAUUAAAGGAGCUUGAAACAGGGCUCAGAACUCAAGGAUUUGGCAGGAUGCCCGGCACAAAGUUUCACCUUGGAUCCAUAAGCUCUGCAGAUUUCCCACGGGCCCCAAAUCUUGUCUGACACAGGCAUCCAUCCUGCUCCCCGUUAUCUGGGAACCUUUGGGUUUUAAGGGUGGACUUCCAACGGGCCCCUUAAAUGCCAAGAAGCUCAUGACUCUUGCAGACUACUAAGACUACAAGAGUCCUCCUUGGGUGAAGUGCCUGAGUGACCUUGUACCAGGGAAUGCUUAUAUCACUAAGGUCUCUGUUAUGUUAUAAAAUUUAAUUAUUAACUUUCUUAGUAUUUUUUCCCAAUUACAUUUUUAAAAUCAUUUCUAAAUAACUUUGGGUUCUCAAUGGUCACUUUUCUUCCCUUCUUCCUCCAUCCCCACUGAAGGUCAUAAGCAAUUAAUAGGUUGUAUAUGUACAGUCAUGUAUGUAAAACAUAACUCUUAUUAGUCAUGUUGUAAAAGAAGAAACAGAUCAAAAGGAAAAAAGACACAAAGAAAGUAAAAAAUAAUGUACUUCAAUUGUAAACAGAGAAAUAUCAGUUUUUCUCUGAAAAUAUAACAUUUUUCAUCAUGAAUCCUUUGACAUUAUCUUUGACUACUGUGUAGCAGAGAAGAGCUUAACCUUCAUCAGAUAAUAUUAUUGUUACUGUUUACAGUGUUCUGGUUUUGCUCACAUCACAUUCAGUUCUUGUAAGUCUUUCUAGGAUUUUCUGGAAUCUGCAUGUUCAUCAUUUGUUACACUACAAAUAGUAUUCCUUUACAUCUAUGGUACUACAUGUUAAGUCAUUUCCCAAUAGAAGGACAUUCUCUUAAUUUCCAUUUCUUGGCCACCCCUGAAAAAAAAAAAAAACUGAUAUAUGUAUGUACGUAUGUAUGAAUAGAUCCUUUCAUUUUUCAUUUUCAUUUUUAGUUUUUUAAAUCACUCUGGGAGACAGGUCAGCAAGUACUGCAGGAAGGGUAUACACAGUUUUAUAGCUCUUUGUGCAUAAUCCCAAAUUGCUUUCCUUAAUUGGAUCAAUUAACAACUCCAUCUACAAUCCAUUAGUGUCCCAAUUUUCCUAAAUUCCUUGAAUAUUUGAUUCCUUUAAAAAGUUUAAUAGUUUAUUAUUCCAUAAUUACAUGUAAAAGCAAUUUUAACAUUUUUGUUUAAAUUGAGUUUCAAAUUCUCUACCCCAUUUUUCCCUCUCCUCCAGCAUUUCUUUGAAAAAUCAAGUAAAUGAAUGUAAACUAUUUGCAUUUCUGUUUUUCUUCCCGGGUUAUUUUUACCUUCUGAAUCCAAUUCUUCCUGUGCAACAAGAGAACUCUUUGGUUCUGCACACAUAUAUUGUAUCUAGGAUAUUUAACAUGUAUAGAACUGCUUGCCAUCUGAGGCAGGGAGUGGUGGGAGAGAGGGGAAAAAUCAGAACAGAAGUGAGUGCAAGGGAUAAUGUUGUAAAAAUUUAACUGGCAUGGGUUCUGUCAAUAAAAAGUUAUAAUUAUUUUAAAAAAAAGAAAAA